CACGUAGGGCGCAAGCGUUGUCCGGAAUUAUUGGGCGUAAAGAGCUCGUAGGCGGUCUGUUACGUCUGCUGUGAAAACCCGGGGCUUAACCCUGGGCUUGCAGUGGAUACGGGCAGACUAGAGGCAGGUAGGGGAGAAUGGAAUUCCCGGUGUAGCGGUGAAAUGCGCAGAUAUCGGGAGGAACACCUGCGGCGAAGGCGGGUUGCUGGGCUGACACUGACGCUGAUGCGCGAAAGCUAGGGGAGCGAACGGG
rnacentral:rRNA from 1 species